UAUAUAUAUAUAUAUAUAUAUUUUUGUAGAAGGAAAAGGUUUUUUUUAAUGCUUCAAAAUGUCAUGUACUUUUAAUAUACAUUGUUUUGUUGCAUGUUUUUUAUGGUAUGCAGAAUUUGCAUUGUCCAGUCUGAAGCAUGUAGUCUGAUUUGUUUGAGAAACUGUAAUUAUUACAUUGCAGGACUAAGACUGCCUCUAGUGGCCAUCAAUCAGACAGCCAAUAAGGCACUUCCUGGUGGUUAAGCGAUUUUUUGUCGCCUAACUGAUGCUGGACGUCCUGAUGGAAUUAUAGUAUGAGUACAACUUUGUAUUCCUUACACAUUAGAAUCCCUUUAAAUGAUACUGGACAGUUUGAUUAAUGUUAGAAUUACUGCAUAAAGAGAACUUUAAGUGAACUUGUCACGGCAGGUUCACUUUAAAUGCAAUGUUCUUAUGGGUUUAGACCUCUCCUAUAUCAUAAUAUGUAACAUUCACCUAAUCUCAUUUUUUCCAUUGGUUGGCUGUGAGGGGGGGUUAUCUGUUUAUAACAGGAAUAAUAAAUAAUUUCAGUAAAAUAGGGGUUACUUAGAUGUGUCACAAAUGGUGCAUUGGCCUUUUUUUUUUUUUUUAAAUAAAUGCUUUAGUAUUUUAAACUUUUUAAAUUUUAAAUGUUUGGGGAGAUUCAACAAUGUAUUAAUGUUAUUAUUUCACUUUAUUCUCUGUAUCUAUAUUUCUAUUUUUUUUAUUCAUAUAAUCUCAAGUGAUUCAUAAUUUUAAUUGUCUGUUUUCUAAACAAUGGUACACCCAGUGUUUAUAACUGAUCAUUUCAUUGUGAUCUUAACAUUUUAACUGUUUUUUUUUU